CACGUAGGGCGCGAGCGUUGUCCGGAAUUAUUGGGCGUAAAGAGCUCGUAGGCGGCCUGUUGCGUCCGCCGUGAAAGCCCGGGGCUCAACCCCGGGUCGGCAGUGGAUACGGGCAGGCUAGAGGUAGGUAGGGGAGAAUGGAAUUCCCGGUGUAGCGGUGAAAUGCGCAGAUAUCGGGAGGAACACCGGUGGCGAAGGCGGUUCUCUGGGCCUUACCUGACGCUAAGGAGCGAAAGCGUGGGGAGCGAACAGG
rnacentral:rRNA from 1 species